rnacentral:sRNA from 1 species
UUUGCUUUGGAGUGGUGCAGUAUUCUAGUCAGCCCCCCAUUCCUGAAGGCGGGCCUAAAAAUCCGCCAAAGGGCACAUCGAUGAAGUUCCUUGUAAUGGCUUGAGGCGCCCAGCCUUGGGUCAUCGCUGGGAGUUAAGGUUGAAGGGCGAUCCACAAUGGCAUGUGGGCGAGGACCCUUCUUCCGCGGAGGCCCCCAUAUUUGCGGUUUGUGUUCAAAAGACCUUACUGCGAAAUGGGGUUUGAACCUGCUUAGCUUUUUUUCUUGUUCACAGGAAAAGAAGGCGAGCAGCGUAGCCUGCCUUGAGUGGAGCUUGAGGGGAUUAUGGUGUGAAAAGCCUGUAUCGGUUGGCCGCUGAUUUUGAGCUUUAUACCAUAUGAAAUCUUCUCUGCAAAAGAGGCUAGGGAAUGUGCGCGAGGCUGUUGAGGAAAACUCCUAGACUGUUCUGCCCUGACACCUUUUAGGGAUUAUAGUGCGGACUAAGUGGUAAUCUAGUCUAACGUUUGGCAACAGCGUUAAGAAGAGAGUAAAGGGAAACCGCGAAUAUGGCGACAUUUCGUACUCUUCUGGGAAAACCUACUGGACCUAAGCCGCAGUCUUUACUUAAUAAGGUGACCACUCCCUAU